GACAGAGGAUGCAAGCGUUAUCCGGAAUGAUUGGGCGUAAAGCGUCUGUAGGUGGCUCUUUAAGUCCGCUGUCAAAUCCCAGGGCUCAACCCUGGAGAGGCGGUGGAAACUAUUGGGCUGGAGUACGGUAGGGGCAGAGGGAAUUUCCGGUGGAGCGGUGAAAUGCGUAGAGAUCGGAAAGAACACCAAAGGCGAAGGCACUCUGCUGGGCCGACACUGACACUGAGGGACGAAAGCUAGGGGAGCAAAUGGG
rnacentral:rRNA from 1 species